rnacentral:sRNA from 1 species
GCCGGGCAUGGUGGCUUAUGCCUGUAAUCCCAGCACUUUGGGAGGCUGAGGCGGGUGGAUCACCUGAGGUUGGGAGUUCAAGACCAGCCUGACCAACAUGGAGAAACCCCGUCUCUA